CACGUAGGUGGCAAGCGUUGUCCGGAAAUAUUGGGCGUAGAGCGCAUGCAGGCGGCGGUUUAAGUCUGUCGUGAAACUGCGGGGCUCAGCCCCGUAUGGCGAUGGAAACUGGAUUGCUUGAGUGCAGGAGAGGAAAGGGGAACUCGCAGUGUAGCGGUGAAAUGCGUAGAUAUUGGGAAGAACACCGGUGGCGAAGGCGCCUUUCUGGACUGUGUCUGACGCUGAGAUGCGAAAGCCAGGGUAGCGAACG
rnacentral:rRNA from 1 species